UUGUGGAGGAGGACGCCGAAGGUGGGGCUAAUGACUGGGGUGAAGUCGUAACAAGGUAGCCGUACCGGAAGGUGCGGCUGGAUCACCUCCUAACAGGGAGACAACAAAAUGUUUAAAUUAUUAUUUUGUCGCCUUAGGUCGAUCGGUAUCUCACAUUCUUAUUUAAUAAGGAUUUUAUUUCCUAAGUUUUUUCUAGGUCACACCCAUUACUUUUCCUGGGCCAUUAGCUCAGGUGGUUAGAGCGCACCCCUGAUAAGGGUGAGGUCCCUGGUUCAAGUCCAGGAUGGCCCAUAUCUCUAUGUUGGGGGUAUAGCUCAGUUGGUAGAGCGCCUGCUUUGCAAGCAGGAUGUCAGUGGUUCGAGUCCGCUUACCUCCACUGAUUACCACCUCUUACAUAACUUUUAUUCAGGAAAUGUUUUGAGUAGUGAUCAAAUUCUGAACGAAUCUAGCUUCCUAAUGAAAUCAUUAAGAUGCUGGACUCAUUGAAUUAAUUUCAUUGUUUUCAGAGAACCUUGACAACUGCAUAGAUUAUUUUUAAAGACAAUAAGCAUCUUUGUGAUGCAGAUUUAUUAUUUGUGCGAAUGCAUUAAUAACAAUUCUAUUAAGCUGAUGCUUCAAUUAUGAAGUUAUUGGUCAAGCUACAA
rnacentral:misc_RNA from 1 species